UUAAAACGCUCGCGCUGUUUUUAUUCCCGCCGCCAUCUUUGUUAGCAAAUAUGGCGACUAGCUAGCUUGGCAGUUAGCUUCCAACAGUUUGUUAGCCACCUGCGUUUGAAAUAAAGAUGAAGUAUUUUAACAGAUAUUUACCACUAAAACGGCCGGAACACAUAUCUCGUUGUUAUAAGAUAAAGACAAAUAAACGAAAAAAGUAAUAUUAUCUUCAGCUGGAUGUUAAUUAGCACCGAAAUUCAUUACUGGACCCGAACUAACUUCACUUUUUCAGAGUAGUCAUUGAAGAUCUGGAAAAUACUUAACUACAGACUGCACAGAAACCCGGUACUGACUACAUGUCAUAUCAGUAUUCAUGAACAUCGUGGUCUGAGCCUAGCAAAGGAGCAACUGCUCUCAGCUGUGGCCUCUUUGCAUCUCCAGAAGGAUUCUCUGUUCAAGCCUGGUUGACUUGUGGUAGUAGAUGUUUAUGACAGCAGUUCUUGCAUCUCCUCCAUUUUAUCGUACAGUUUUCUUAAUCUAAUAUACUGUGGGCCUAAUCCUCUCUUCCUGCUCGGCGUUUUUGCUGUCCAUUUUUCCUCGAUGGAGAUAAACGGUUGUUUACACUUCAGGUCAAACUAGAAACCAACCGUGACCGUGUGCAUCAGUCUGAGCCAUGAUGGUUUGGGUCCACAGGAGAAGAACGAGGGACGAAUCUGGAAGAGGAGUGUGAAAUCUGCUCAGGGUUUGACUAGUUUGAGGGAUUCGCUCCGACUGUUUACAUACUUUGUUUGUGCAUAAUUAAUCCAAGUGUAUUUUGAUAUACAGCACUUGUGAGCCUCUUUUAGAGAACACGUGAGACGUGUGUG